rnacentral:ribozyme from 1 species
UGCCCAGCAACUCCUAUCCCUACCUCCUCGCGGUACCGGCCGGAAACUAUGAGCAACCUUGGGGAAGA